CACAACAUUACAAAUAUUUUCAGAGAUGUGAGAUGAUUAACUUGUUCGCUGUAAUAUCGCAUCGCUUUGGAAUCGUGACAUUACGUAUUGUAACGACCCUGGGUUUAUAAGAGCGGAAAUCGACGCUGCCGCUCGAGCAUGCUUUUGCGGCACAGUCGAAGGCGCGCCGGACCUCGGGCUAGAAGGUCGAGGGUUCGAGACCUGCUCCCUGCCUGUUUGUUUCAUUACAGUAUUUUCGAGGAAAAAUGGCAUGUUAUCAUUUCGUUGGAUAAAAAAAUAAUAAAUAAACUUAAUUAACAACAACAAAAAUGACAGCGCAUAUCUCAAAGAUAACAUUGUGAUAGCUAAGAUGUUAUUUGUAAUAUGAAAUAUUUAGCAGGCUAUCACGGAAUUCAUGCAAUGACAGAUAACAAUUAAUCAAUUUACUAAAUAAUACUGAUAACAUUCGAUGUAUUCAAAAAAUGGUCUUACAUCAAACAUUCUAGUCUCUCUGUGCGAAUAUCCACCUUGUGUUAGAUAUUUUUUUAAACAACGUGCCCACUUGGGAGAGUGAGAUGGGUAGAUAUGAACAACGGAAAUGGGCCGGUGGGACAAGAUAACGACAUGGUACCUCCUUAUUAGACCAGGCCACUGGGUGCAUCUAAAAUGAGUUCAUUACAACUUCAGUAAGAGAGGAGAACAAGCUGCUACCAAGGACCUGAGCCCUAGGACCAUGCCUCAGGACAACCUGACAUGAUGACUCCUUGCUGUCCCCAGUCCACCUGGCCGUGCUGCUGCUCCAGUUUCAACUGUUCUGCCUUAUUAUUAUUCGACCAUGCUGGUCAUUUAUGAACAUUUGAACAUCUUGGCCAUGUUCUGUUAUAAUCUCCACCUGGCAGAGCCAGAAGAGGACUGGCCACCCCACAUAGCCUGGUUCCUCUCUAGGUUUCUUCCUAGGUUUUGGCCUUUCUAGGGAGUUUUUCCUAGCCACCGUGCUUCUACACCUGCAUUGCUUGCUUUUUGGGGUUUUAGGCUGGGUUUCUGUACAGCACUUUGAGAUAUCAGCUGAUGCACGAAGGGCUAUAUAAAUAAAUUUGAUUUGAUAUC